UCAUGUAGCGCCAGCCUCACCAGGAACAGAAGGGUGCCGGUUCCCUUCCGCGUGCUUGGUAUUUUCCCCGCAGGGCUCUGACCGCUCCCGCUCUCAGGCACCUGUCUUUCCUCUCCGUCCCAGAAUGGAGCCAAGACAAGGGAAUAAAGGAAAUUCAAUAGUACACGGAGAUCGGGUGUCUGGGCAGCGUCUUGGAAAAACUACCCACUACAGUACAGGUCAAGUGAAGUUCUGCUGCUGCUAUGUUCUGCUACUGCAUAAGAGACAGAAUCUAUAUUGCCUAGACUGGUCCUGAACUCUUGGGCUAAAGUGAUCCUCCUGCUUUGGCCUCCCAAAGUGCUAGGAUUAUAGGUGUGAGCCAUCCAACCUUGCCUUUGCCAGUAUUUUAAAAUCUGAACACCUAUGCAUGGGGCUUACUAUGUACACAGUGGUAUUCUAAACAUUUCUCACCUAUUAUUUAAUAUUUAUUAUCAUCACCAUGUUACAGAUAAGGACCCUGGCUAAAUAGCUUACCCAACAUUGCUCCGUUAAUA